UUAUCUUGGAGCUACCCUAGAAGCACCCGGCGAGUCGGUUUGGCUACAGCGUUGUGCCGGUACGAGUCACCGGCAGCAACCGGUCGCAUGCGUCGGCACAAGAUAUAAAAGGCUCGCUCUUACGUCAUUAGAAAUAUCACGAGUUGAGAGAGAGAGAGAGAGAGAGGUGAGCCAUGCCAUGAUUCCGCUCGAACUCAUUCAUGGAGGAAUCCGCCGUCGGUAAGCCUCGGAGAGCCACCACCAACACCAGCACCACCACUACCGCCGCCGAUCGCCCGACGCCGGGGCCCGGCGGCGGGGAGGACUCGGGCUUGGAGGGCGAGGAAUGCGACGUCGAGGUGUGGGAAAUGCUCAGCACGAGCUUCAGGCGAGUGCAGUCCGCGCUUGACCGGAACUGGACGCUGAUCUCCCAGGUCAACGAGAAUCAUCAAUCCAAGGUCCCCGACAACCUCGCCAAGAACGUUGCGCUGAUUCGGGAGAUCAAUGGGAACAUCUCGAAGGUGCUUUCGAUAUACUCGGAUUUGUCGGUCCAUGUCUCCGGCGUUGUGCAUCAACGCCGUGCCUUUCAGAACGGUGCCGCCGGAAGGAACAGCGAAAAGCUGGAGAGCUCGGAGGCCUGAUCGCGUCCAUCGAUUGAGAGACAGUUUACCAGUAAUAUCAAUCACUUUAAGCUUGUGCUUCUUGAGCUUUGAUCGAAUUUUAAUAGUCUCCUAUUCAACUGGUUUGACGUUGGAUCGUUUCUAGCUGUGUCUGGUCUUCCGAAAGUAAGUCUUAGAUGUUUGGUUGUUCUUGUCAGUGAGUGGUACGUCUUUCAAUUGGAGUCAGCUCUGUCACGGUCAAUCAUGAACUUGGUACUCAUGUGUUGCGUUUGUGUUAUGCUUCUUUUGUGUUGUAAGGACGCUGGCUGCGGGACUGCUUCUCUUCAUUACUAGCCCCGCAUCGCCAAGAUAUGAAGGUUCAAAAUUGGAGGUUCUGCAAAAGCUCCGACAAUCAAUUUGAGAGGUAAAAGUGCAUUGGGCUUCUGCUUUUGGUAUACUGUUAUCGAUGAAGUGCGUUAUAUUCAAAUUGAAACGUAAAGCAAAUUAUAUUGAUGUUUAUUGAUCUUGAAUAAAGUUAGUGGAAGUGGCAGCU